rnacentral:lncRNA from 1 species
GAGAAGCACCGCCUCACAGGAAAUAGAGGUUGGAGGGCAGGCCCACAGUUCCCGGGCUAUUUGAGCCUGCGGAGAUGCCUCAGUUCUGCGCACCUGCUUCUCUCACUGCUGGGACCUGUACGGCGGGGGCAGGUCCUUUAGAGAAGUUCCAUCUCGCCAAGUCGAACAAGGAUCUGUAUUCACAGUAUGAGUGAGCCCCCUGCAUUGGCCAUCUUCCCUGUUUUCUCGACCAGCACCAUCUACAGAAGCUGACAAUGACCAUUGGGUUUUCCAGUGGAUACCAGAACGCCCCUUCCUGCUGCCUGGAGGGAAGACAGGAUAACCGUUUGGCAGCAAGAGGGAAAAAUGAGAGAAAGCUUCCCUCGGACGUCAGUGAUCCUUGGCUGUGUGUUCACAUGUAAGAGCAGGCCACCAACAGGCCGGGUGGAUGCUGUAAGUGCCUGAGAUUGACGUGUCGAUUGGAUGAGCAUCACUCUACAACAGUCGGUUGUUCCUGCCAACUUGUCUGCUACCGACUCCUAAACGCUCUGACAUCUGCAGAGGAGGCAGGAGAGCACUGGGAAAAGCUGCAUGGGCCCCGGCGCAAAGUCGACUGUCCUGCCUUGCAACCUCCCUGGACCCCAGCAUCCUCAUCUGUAAGUGCGAGCAAUGUGCAUCUACACAUGGGGAGCUCAUCAGGAUUAAAUGAGACACAGCGUGUCAAGCAUGCAUUUGCACCAAGCUGGGCUCUGAAGGGCCUGGAGCAGCUAGAGCAAGUCCUGCUCGCUAUGCGCCUUCUCUGCCCAGACCCUCCCAGGCCUCAUCUCGCGGGAUCCUCGCGAGAGCUCUGAGCGAGAGACUGUUAUUAACCCAUUUUACGGAGGCAGAAACUGAGGGUCAGUAACUGGCCCACGUUCACAGCUGGACGUGGCACGCAGCCGGAAGGGAACUGACGUCUGUGAUGCCAAGGCCCGGGCCUGUCCCAGCAUCCCACGCCGCCUUUCUAAGCUCCAGGAAUGGCUAAGGAGGAGACCCGGGGCCUGGGAGUAGCCCCACGGCCUGGCUGGCGGAGGGGGCCGGUCCAGGGGUGCAGCUACAGGAUUCGAGAUUGCAAGCCACCCCCUUGUAGGAUCCGGUCUCCAUCCUGACCAGCCUCCUCCCCCACCCCCACCCCCAC